UACAGAGGGUGCGAGCGUUGUCCGGAAUCACUGGGCGUAAAGGGCGCGUAGGCGGCGCGGAUAGUCGGCGGUGAAAGCCCGGAGCUCAACUCCGGGUCGGCCGUCGAUACUUCCGGGCUUGAGCACUGUAGAGGCAGAUGGAAUUCCUGGUGUAGCGGUGAAAUGCGCAGAUAUCAGGAGGAACACCGAUGGCGAAGGCAGGUCUCUGGGCAUUAACUGACGCUGAGGAGCGAAAGCAUGGGGAGCGAACAGG
rnacentral:rRNA from 1 species